rnacentral:rRNA from 1 species
GACGAACGCUGGCGGCGUGCUUAACACAUGCAAGUCGAACGGAAAGGCCCUGCUUUUGUGGGGUGCUCGAGUGGCGAACGGGUGAGUAAAACGUGAGUAACCUGCCCUUGACUUUGGGAUAACUUCAGGAAACUGGGGCUAAUACCGGAUAGGAGCUCCUGCUGCAUGGUGGGGGUUGGAAAGUUUCGGCGGUUGGGGAUGGACUCGCGGCUUAUCAGCUUGUUGGUGGGGUAGUGGCUUACCAAGGCUUUGACGGGUAGCCGGCCUGAGAGGGUGACCGGCGACAUUGGGACUGAGAUACGGCCCAGACUCCUACGGGAGGCAGCAGUGGGGAAUAUUGCACAAUGGGCGGAAGCCUGAUGCAGCAACGCCGCGUGCGGGAUGACGGCCUUCGGGUUGUAAACCGCUUUCGCCUGUGACGAAGCGUGAUUGACGGUAAUGGGUAAAGAAGCACCGGCUAACUACGUG